rnacentral:RNase_P_RNA from 1 species
CGAGAGGGUCGGGUGAUCGCGGGCGGUAUGCGCCGCCUGAGGAAAGUCCGAACUCCACAGAGCACGAUGCUGGGUAACGCCCAGGCAGGGUGACCUGACGGCAAGUGCAACAGAAAGCAGGGCGCCGGCGGGCCAUCCGGUCCGCCGGUAAGCGUGAAACGGUGGUGUAAGAGACCACCGGCGGUCCAGGUGACUGGGCCGGCCAGGCAAACCCCAUCGGGAGCAAGACCAAGUAGGAAGGCGAGACCGAAGCCGGCGAGGCUGUCGGUCGCAGGGCUGCUCGUCCUGGCCUUCGGGUAGGUCGCUAGAGACGGCGGGUAACCGUCGUCCCAGAGAGAUGAUCACCGCCGCCGGUCUCCGGCGGUACAGAAUUCGGCUUACAGAUCCUCUCGGGGC